rnacentral:rRNA from 1 species
AGUGAACGCUGGCGGUAGGCCUAACACAUGCAAGUCGAACGGCAGCACAGGAGAGCUUGCUCUCUGGGUGGCGAGUGGCGGACGGGUGAGGAAUACAUCGGAAUCUACUUUUUCGUGGGGGAUAACGUAGGGAAACUUACGCUAAUACCGCAUACGACCUACGGGUGAAAGCAGGGGACCUUCGGGCCUUGCGCGAUUGAAUGAGCCGAUGUCGGAUUAGCUAGUUGGCGGGGUAAAGGCCCACCAAGGCGACGAUCCGUAGCUGGUCUGGGAGGAUGAGCAGCCACACUGGAACUGAGACACGGUCCAGACUCCUACGGGAGGCAGCAGUGGGGAAUAUUGGACAAUGGGCGCAAGCCUGAUCCAGCCAUACCGCGUGGGUGAAGAAGGCCUUCGGGUUGUAAAGCCCUUUUGUUGGGAAAGAAAUCCAGCUGGCUAAUACCCGGUUGGGAUGACGGUACCCAAAGAAUAAGCACCGGCUAACUUCGUGCCAGCCGCCGCUGUAA